GCACAGUCCUCCACCGUGAUGUGGAGAGGGGCGUGCACCCGCAUGCCAUGGCUGAGGGGAAGGUCUGCAGAGACAUCCCCAUGCCAAGUGCCUUGGCUGCUGGCAGGCAUCCCAGCAGGAGGAGGGCUAACUCUCUCCCGGGAGGGAGGGAAAAAAAAAAAAGCCUCAGGCUGACGCCAGGGACUGGGAGGGGGCUCAACACGCCCCAAAAUCCGCCUGAGGGGGGCAGAGCAACCCUGCAGCGGCUCAGGGCAAGCCCCAAGGCAGGGGGAGAUGGCAAGGACCAAGAGAAGAUUUUGUGAAUUCUAACACACCAAAAUAUGGAGUUAUACAUGGGCCUGUGCACACAUCUUUCCUGAGAGGGCAAGGGAGGCCAGGAUACUAACAUGGAGCAACACAGCAUCAUGAGAAAGACUGAUUAACAACAGUGACAGGAAAUGGGACCAAAACUUUGGAUGGAAAAGCCAGACUUCCUGAACCUACUGUUAAGAAGGGACUGAUCUACUAGUUUAAAGAUACCAGGACUGAGGCAGAGUGAUUAAGUGAUUUGCCCAAGGUCACACAGUGGUUUCUAGCACAGCCAGAUUCAACCCAGAUCUCCUGAAUUCCAGUCUGCUGCCUGAUCACAGGACUCUCCAUUGUAUAGCAGACCAAGAUUGGUAUAACCAUCUGUAAUCUGAGGCCAAGUAGAGACAAACAGGCAUUACAUGUAACCUGGUAUAAGUGAUCAGAAACUGGUCUAAACCUGUAACAAAACAGAAGUUUGGGGCACAUAGACUGAUUUAAAAAUGGUGGAACACGGAAUAUGAGAGCGCUUGUCUGCAUAAUCAACAUUUACCCACUAACAAUGUUCCUGGUUUAAUUUUCCUUUCUUAGUUUAUGACAAGUCAGUAACAUGGAUGUGAUACACCAUGUAAUGGCUUAUUAUGCUAUAACUAAUAAAAUAUGCUAGGGGGCACGUCAGAACAAUUUUACCCUCCUGCCCUUUCACUACUAUUUUACUGCCAGGUGGCAUUUUAGGACAAGAUUUGAUAUUUUGGUUGGUUUAUUUUCAUGGGUCAUG